UCGGGAAUUUUGGGCAAUGGGCGAAAGCCUGACCCAGCAACGCCGCGUGAGGGAUGAAGUAUUUCGGUAUGUAAACCUCGAAAGAAUGGGAAGAAUAAAUGACGGUACCAUUUAUAAGCUCCGGCUAACUACGUGCCAGCAGCCGCGGUAAUACGUAGGGAGCAAGCGUUGUUCGGAUUUACUGGGCGUAAAGGGCGCGUAGGCGGCGCGGUAAGUCACUUGUGAAAUCUCUGAGCUUAACUCAGAACGGCCAAGUGAUACUGCUGUGCUAGAGUGCGGAAGAGGCUACCGGAAUUCUUGGUGUAGCGGUGAGAUGCGUAGAUAUCAAGAGGGACACCUGAGGCGAAGGCGGGUUGCUGGGCCGACACUGACGCUGAUGCGCGAAAGCCAGGGGAGCAAACG
rnacentral:rRNA from 1 species